rnacentral:rRNA from 1 species
AUUGAACGCUGGCGGAAUGCUUUACACAUGCAAGUCGAACGGCAGCAUAGGUGCUUGCACCUGAUGGCGAGUGGCGAACGGGUGAGUAAUACAUCGGAACGUGCCCAGUCGUGGGGGAUAACGUAGCGAAAGUUACGCUAAUACCGCAUACGAUCUAAGGAUGAAAGCGGGGGACCGUAAGGCCUCGCGCGAUUGGAGCGGCCGAUGUCAGAUUAGGUAGUUGGUGGGGUAAAGGCCACCAAGCCAACGAUCUGUAGCUGGUCUGAGAGGACGACCAGCCACAUUGGGACUGAGACACGGCCCAGACUCCUACGGGAGGCAGCAGUGGGGAAUUUUGGACAAUGGGCGCAAGCCUGAUCCAGCCAUUCCGCGUGCAGGACGAAGGCCUUCGGGUUGUAAACUGCUUUUGUACGGAGCGAAAAGCCUUGGGUUAAUACCUCGAGGUCAUGACGGUACCGUAAGAAUAAGCACCGGCUAACUACGUGCCAGCCGCCGCGGUAA